AGCAGAGGGGGGAGGGGAAGAAAAGCAUAAUCUGGUUUCAUUUACACCUAUUUACAUGGACACCUUGGGCCAAUAGAAAUCAUUUCCAUUUGAAGACAAGGCAAAGGGUGAAAAGGCUCAGCAACCGGAAUUGAAGUGUGAUGGAACCCAGUAACUGUGUGUGAAGUUCAGCACUGCAUUGCCACCCACAAAGCUGGUAAAAAAGAGUCCAUGUGAUUAUAACUAACCUCCAGUGAACCAAAGGAUGGCUAAUUCCUAGUGUCUAAAAGCAGCAUUGAUCCCUUUCCAAUGAAUGAUCUUCGCAUUCAGUAAAACCCAAGCACUUUCUAAAGGAAAAAGGUCACUUGCAAAACCUGUGAACAUGAAAGACUUUCAGAAACAAUAUAGAAUUUUUUUCCCUCAAGUGUUAAAAUAAGAAUGGAUCAGCUUGGAGUAUUAAUUUAAACCUCUGGUCACACAGACUGACCAAUGCUCAGGCAAUGCAGAAUAGUAAUAUAAUCCGUUAUAUGACGAAAGUCCUUAUUAAUUCUGGAUGUAUACAGUAUAUCUGUUAUGUGUUUUUGCAAAUAUGUACUUUUUUUGAAGCAAUAACAAUAUGAAUUCACUUUUUCUGUUUUCUGUAAAUAUGCAUAAAUGUAAAACAAAAUGUUGACAUAUUUAUGGACAUGUGAGAGUAACGUUAAGGGGCAGAUUUAUCAAAAUGUGAGUUCAGAUUUUAAAUAAAUAUAAACUCACCCACGUUCUAUUUUUAUAAGGAUAUUUAUAAAUGGGUGAAAAGUAUAACUCACCGUUUUAUAAAUACACUUACAAAAAUUCCGGGGUGGGUGAGUUUUUAUUUAUUAAUAUCUAAACUCACAUUUUGAUAAAUCUGCCCCUACAAAAAAGUAUACAUUUUGGCAUAAAAUGUAUCAAUUACUUGUGAAAGUUGUAGGAUUUUAAAUAAGGAUAAAGAGAUAUAUGUUUGCUGCUGAUAUAUCUGCACUGGAAUUUACAACACAAUUUUAACAUUGCUGACUUUCACACAAUGAGCUAUGUAAAAAGUGCCAGAAAAACUAUAUUUGUGCACAGAAAUAAAUCAAUAAGUCUAUACAUUUUAUACCCUGAUACAAGCACUCAUUUUGCAUUGCACUAACGAUAAAAGUUAGAUAAGACUUGUACAUAAACUUUAUUUAUAAUGGCAGGACAAAAUACUCUCUCUCUCUAUCGCUCUCUCUCUCAAUGUCUUAUAAUUCCUUUUAAUUUUCUCUCUCUAUACAACUGUUUAACUGUAGGUGGAUAUCUGUACCUCCAAGCAACAUCUGUCAGUGGGGGAUGCAGAGCACUGUAGUUUACUUGCAUGUGUAUGAGCCACAGGACGACUAUAUCUACUUUAUGCACUGCAAACAUUCAGAAUAUUUUUUCACAGACUGAAAACUUACAUUGACUAAAGAAAAUAUGUUAUAGUUUAUUUAAAUGUAAAAUGAAAUGACUUUCCAGUGUACAAAUUGUUGACUUCUGUUCCUGAUCAAAGCUAUUCUCCAAUCACAGUUCUAGAGAAGAAGGAUAUCUUUCACUUGUUUAAUAUUUAAUUCUGGGAAUAUGUUCUUUAGAUCUGACUUUAGAAAGGAUUUCCCCUGUAGCAAUUCCCUUCUUUGUGUUGUCUCUCUGUAAGAUAUUACACAGGUCGGAUUUAAUCACUUGCCUAAAGUGAAGAUUCUGGCUCAGAUUUUUUUUCCUCUGAAGACAGAAAACCUUCAAAUAAUAGAAAUAUUUCAAAAAUGGACGUUUUUGAGUAUAUGCUGUAAAUCAGUGCUGUGCCAGUAUUUUGUAAAAUUAUGUAAUUAGGCUAAAAAAUCCUACAAACUUUCAGAUAAAAUGCCUGUAUAUGCAAAAGUAA